CACAUACUCCCUCAGUCUCAAGUUACUUGUCGCAAAAAUGGAUGUAUCUAGACGUAUCUUUAGUUCUUGAUACAUCCAUUUAUUUCCAUUUCCCCGACAAGUAAUCCAGGACGGAAGGAGUAUAUG
rfam:Hordeum vulgare subsp. vulgare, WGS project CAJW01000000 data, contig: morex_contig_1593304